rnacentral:lncRNA from 1 species
GUAGAAGAACGGCACCACCGAGUUAGAAAUCGAGCAAGAGAACUAUCACGAGAGAGAAGUAGGGUUGUGAUAUUGAGAGAGAGUACGCUGUGUUUAGAUGAUCAAAAACCCUACAACCUAUAGGGGUAUUUAUAGGUGCAGAGAGACUUGUGUGCUACUCUUUCUCAUAAUUAAAUAAUCUGAAACAAAAUCAGAUUAAAAUUUUCUAGCUGCUAUAUUCCAUAAAUAAUAUGAAACGAAAUCAGAUUCUGAAACUUGCUUCUUUAAUUUUUGAUAUUUUUUAUCCGAAAAUUCUAGAAAAUUAGAAAAAUAAAAUGGAGCGAUGUAAGAGGCGCCGCCACCUACACGCCCCUCGCUUCUCCUUUAUAUAGAAACAAAAUCAGAUUAAAACUUUCAAGCUACUAUAUUCCAUAAAUAAUCUGAAACAAAAUCAAAUUCUGAAACUUGCUUCUAAUAUAUCAGAAACUAAAAAAGGUGGUUCUAAUUUUUGAUAUUUUUCAUCCAAAAAUUCCAGGAAAUUAGAAAAGUAGAACGGAGCGAUGUGAGGGGCGCCACCUACACACCCCUCGCUUCUCCUUUAUAUAAGUAUAUUGAUGAUUGAUGAUUUCUUUAUUUAUGUAUAUAGCUGUACUGGGUAGUUGUACAGAUAUUGUUGUAGUCUUGGUACUCUAACCUUUUAACGAUCUAUUUUAUUUAUUUUUGAAUUUUUACUUGAUUUUGAAAAUUUACUAUUAUAAUUUUUUUUCUAAUUCCUAUCAAACACAUAUGAAUUAUAUAAAUAACGUGACUUUCAAAAAAUUUAAAUUAAAUAUAAAACUUUAAAAUUAAAUAUUAAGAUUAAACUUGAUUUUUGAUAAAGAAUCUAGGCAGCUUUUUAAAAAGGAGACAAAUAACAUUUCUUAAAGGAUAAAAUUUGCACACUUAAUAAAUAUAAUUUUUGAAAAAAUAAUUUAAUAAUUUAAUAUAAUCUGUAAAUUUGGUUGAAGAAAAAUCAAAUUAAUGAAAAUAAAUGAUGUUAUCUUUCUAGUGUCCAUAUCCCCGUAUCCAAAUCCCAGUGUCCAUAUCCGCGUGUCCGAUCCGUAUGAAACGUGUCCCCGAGUCUAUGAUUUCAUGAUUUGGCGUAUCGGACUCCAGGAUAUGUGUCCGUGUCGGAUCUUUCUAGACGAGUCCGAGCAUCCUAGCUUGUAUAUAGCCUAAUCAAUUUGCAUAUAAGCAAUAUUAACUUUGCAUGAGAAAUAUGUACAAUCAGGUUGGUUUUUGAUGCAAUGCACGCAGUGACCGGUGCUUAUGCAGAACCCAUCUUUGUAGACAAGCUUGGAGCUAGCACGGUAUCUUCUUCCGCAUUUAAUGCUUGUAGCUUAAAUCAACUGCUAUACAAGUAUUCUUACUAGUGGAUUUAUCAUUUGUACAGAAUUCUAUUUUAAAUGGAGUGCCUCUUGAAGAUUUUGGGCAUGGCCAUCCAGAUCCAAAUCUUACGUAAGAUUGUUUAGUGUUGGUUUGAGUUAAAUUCUUGUUAAAAGACAUUGAAAUUGAUAUGUUUUGGAUAGAUAUGCUAAAGACCUAGUGAACAUCUUGUAUAAAGAGGAUGGACCAGACUUUGGAGCUGCAAGUGAUGGUACGUUAAUUGUCUUGCGUGCAAUCAUCUUCCUACUUGUUUUUAGUUUUUGAAGUAUAAAGUUGACCGGUGUAUUUGUACUGUUUGAGGUUUUAAAGUUGAUCUUGGCAAACCUCAUAUACCUAACUGAAUAAGUACUAUUUGUUCAAUAGGCAACAUAAUUAUGUUGUAUUAAAUAUCAAUUGAGCUAGUAAAUAAAUGCAAUUUGGUCAUUUUGUUAUGCCCAGUGAAGGAGUAUCUGUUAACUACAAGUGGCUCUAAGAGUAUCUUUAUGUUAUGCCCAUAAAGAAUUUGGUCAUUUUUUUACUUGACUUUACGGGAGGGUUUGGCUAGUAUCUUUCUUCAUAUGGGAAUUUUUUAUAUGUUUUGAUUUGUUAGUUGUGUUUGGAUAUUCAGUCAUAAUAUUUGGUGUCACCGCAAAAUUUCUGAAAUCUUGUAAGUCAUUAUUAACUUUUAGUUUAUCACAAAUUUAUCAUGACUUUCAACACUUCAGUCAUCUGAUAUCUGUGUUUUCCUUUUCAUUCUAAGUAAAUGAUUAGCUGUCCAUUUGCACUUUACCAGCAACUGCGCCUGCGAUGCCAUGGAAUAUCAAUGCAGACCUUGUUAAAUUUAGUAGAAUCUGAUUCCCAAAUUCUAAAUGUUUAAUGCGGAAGCAGAAUAAGUGGUACAAUUUGAUGUAAAAGUAUUCAGUUACUUAAAUUUCAUUAUUUCUGCAACCAAUUGUUAAUGUGGUAUUCUACUAACAUUUAAAGCAUGACAGAGGAAUCAAUGUGGACAGUUGUAAGGGUUUAUUUGACUUUUAAGUAAGAGUAGUGCUACGUACCCCAGAUUCUGUUCCCAAAAUUUUUUCCCAAAUGACGUGGCAGACAGAUGGCUAAUUUUAAUUGGGUGUUUGAUGUGCAUACAGAGGGCCUCAUGAUUAUUAGUGUGAGUUGUACCGAUCAUACAUUGCCAACUAGAUUUUGGGAAAAGAAUUUGGGAACACUUUUUGGGGUACCUAGCAUUUUUCUUUAAGUAAAUUGAUUACAUGCAUUUUCUCAAAUGGAUCCAUCUAUUAGAUAUUCAAUAUAUGCAUUGCCUUGAAGUAGCAUUGAUUACUACUGUAACUGUUCACAAGUAUAUGAUCUGCCUGGAUAUAAGUUCAGAUAUUCCUCUUAUAUCCUGCUGGCUGCUUGCAUUUGUAACCACGUGUAAGCCAUUUUUUUUGUAAACCUCAGGUUGAUGUAAUAUAUACAUAUAUAUAUAUAUAUAGGGGAGGGUUCUGGUACAAACUUACAAACUUUUUUUGUUCAACACAUAUAUAACUUGAGUUCAACAUAUUUUUAACAUAUUUUGUUGAACAUCUGUUAAAAUAGUGGUGGAGAAGUACAUAAACCAAUUUUUAAAUGUAAGAACUAAGGUAAACAUGUUAUAUAACUAAUAUUUAUGUUUCUAGACCCUACCCAAACCCCAGAGGUAUAGUUUAAACAUCUUUUUAGAUAUAUUCAACACAAUGAUAAUUAGUGUUCAACACCCGAUGUUGAACCCCAGUUAUAAAUGUGUUGAAAACGCGAUUUAUUUAUGCGUUAUUUUUAAAAAUUGUGAUGUUUUUUGAAGAAUUUUCAACAUGGAUACUUUAUAUAACUAAGGAUUAACACGAUGGGAGAAUAAAAAAAAGUUUGUAAGUUUGUAACUUAAAAAAGUUUUUAUUUGAUCCUAUCCCUAUAUAUAUAUACUAGCUUAUAGCCCGUGCAAGGCACGGGAGCUUCUAUGUUUCUAGACCCUACCCAAACCCGAGAGGUAUAGUUUAAACAUCUUUUUAGAUAUAUUCAACACAAUGAUAAUUAGUGUUCAACACCCGAUGUUGAACCCCAGUUAUAAAUGUGUUGAAAACGCGAUUUAUUUAUGCGUUAUUUUUAAAAAUUGUGAUGUUUUUUGAAGAAUUUUCAACAUGGAUACUUUAUAUAACUAAGGAUUAACACGAUGGAAGAUUAAAAAAAAGUUUGUAAGUUUGUAACUUAAAAAUUUUUAUUUGAUCCUAUCCCUAUUUAUAUAUACUAGCUUAUAGCCCGUGCAAGGCACGGGAGCUUUUUAAUUAUUUAUAAACUUUUUAAAUAUAUUUUAAAUGGUGUGAAAAAAUUUAAUUUAUAAAUAAUAAAUUAAAAUUAUAUUUAUCAUGCCAAACUAUUAAAUUCUUUCUAUCAAAUUUUAAAUUAUUUUAAGUAGAAUAAGUGACGCCAACUCCUAUUAGAUUAUAUUUAUAAAUGUAUUUUAUAUUAAAAUUAUUAUAAUGUGAUUUAAAUAUUUUUCAAAAAAAUUAUAUGGUUUCAAAUUAAAAUUGAUAAACAUAAUUUGUUUUGAAUUAAGAAAAGGAAUCAUAAAUAUGCAAUAAGAAGGUAGAAUCUAUUUUGGAUUAAGAAAAAGUUUUUUAUUUGUUCCUCACAUAAAUCCGGCUUAUUAAUUUUAAAAUAUAUUAUAAAAAAAUUGUGACGGUGAGAUUUAUAUGAUUCUACGAAUAAAACUGGUAAGAAAUAUUUAUUUAGGAUUAAAAAAAAUCAUAUACAUGUGAAAGACAGAAUUUGUUUUGGAUUCAGAAAAGGAAUUAUAAACAUGCAAGUAUCAGUUACCUUCUAGAACAGAAUUUAAUUUUGUUCCAAUCUAACGGUGCUUAUUUGUUCAAUAUAAGAUCCAACGGAUGGUAAGCUUUUGGACCAGAGGACCAUGCGACCAAAUUAUCUCCCUUACGCUUAUUAUAUAUAAGUAGGUAAUAUAUAUAUAUAUAUCCUACUCCAACAGAAACUACUAGAAUAGAAACUAAAAACCAAUGCGAUUAAGUAGAAUGAUGCGGGUUUUGGGACCGGGGAUGGACCCCGAGAUGGGCCUAGACAGGGUCUACGUGGGGCCUAAUAGGGCCGGGUCGGGGCCUAGUGGGACCAUGGUGGGGCCAAUGUUUGGCUUUUUAAGACUGUCUGAAGCCUGUCUAGGACCUGUGAGGAGCCUUGGCGAGGACCUUUCGGGCCCGGGGUGGAUUGAGUGGGGGUGAAGGUGGGCCUUAGGUGGGUGAUGACAUAUAGGGGGUGGGUGAUGACAUAUAAGGGGCGGGGGAGGGCAUUUAGGUAUAGUUUCUCUUGGUUUCCAUUUUAGUUUUUAUUUUAGCGGUUUCUAUUUGAGCAAUUGCCUAUAUAUAUAUCUUUUCAGGUGACGGUGAUAGAAACAUGAUUCUUGGUAGAGAAUUUUUUGUUACCCCAUCGGACUCUGUUGCAAUUAUUGCCGCAAAUGCGCAAAGUGCGAUUCCAUAUUUCCAGAGUGGCCCAAAAGUAAGAAGCUUCUGUAACAUUUCUUUUAGUUGUCAUUUUUCUAUUACUUCUAGAGUUUUUAUGUGCUGUUAAAUUUGCAGGGUUUGGCGAGAUCGAUGCCAACAAGUGGUGCUCUUGACCGUGUUGCUCAGAAGCUGAAUCUGCCAUUUUAUGAGGUUUAGUGUUCAGAUUUUUCAAGCAGUUAAUAAUGAACUGUGUGAUUAAUUAAUUGGGGAAAUUGGCUUGAGAGUGUUUCUGUUUUCCUCCUACCAGGUUCCCACUGGUUGGAAAUUCUUUGGAAAUUUAAUGGAUGCUGGAGUGUUGUCAAUUUGUGGUGAAGAAAGUUUUGGAACAGGAUCUGACCAUAUUCGUGAAAAGGAUGGAAUAUGGUACACAUACAAUUUAAUUAAUCAUCCCUGUCAUUUAAUCAUGCGUUUCCAAAUCCACUUAAAAAUGAUUUUGUGGGAAUUUUUUAGUAUAUUUUUUCUUUCUAACAACAAAAGUUAAAAUCUUUUAAAAGGUGUACUGGGUGCUGUAUCACUUUCAUUUUGACCCUUUACGAGUGUGGAUAUAAGUAAUCUGAAAAUGCAAAAUGUAUACAAUCCAAAUACCCGAUUCUCCUUAAAUAAUGUUAAAAAUCACACUGAAAGUACUACUAGAUUUCUCCUAUUUUGGAGGCAAAUAUAAAUACAGAUUUGUUUUCCAAAUACCUAGUUAUAAAUCUUUAUAGAAGCUUAUUGGGUGCUGUAUCCCUUUCAUUUUGACCCUUUAUGAGCGUAUAAAUAAUUUUUAAAAUCCAUAUGUAUACAACCAAAAUACCCAAUUCUCCUUAAAUAGUGUUGAAAGAAAGUACUAGGCCUCGAUUAUGGAGGCAAAUAAAAAUACUAUGUCUUCCAAAAUACAUACACUGAUAGACCUUAGUAAUUAAUUUUGAUAUGAAUGCUUACUUCGAUACUUAUAACUCAGGGCUGCUGACUUCAAUAGCUGUUAUUGACAGGGCGGUGCUAGCUUGGCUUUCAAUACUAGCAUAUAGAAACAAGGACAAGAAAAGUGGUGACCGGCUGAUUUCUGUCUCUGAUGUUGUUAAGGAGCAUUGGGCCACUUAUGGAAGAAAUUACUUCUCUCGAUAUGACUACGAGGUAAGCAAUAUUAAAUUUUGUUUGACAGUUUAUUGAUUAAAAUCAGUAGUUAUAUAAUCAUAUCUUAUAACUGAAUAUUCUGAUAUCAAUUUUUUCGGCUAGGAAUGUGAAUCUGAAGGUGCCAACAAAAUGGUAGAGUAUCUUAGAGAUUUAAUUUCAAAGAGCAAGGAAGGCGAUAUAUAUGGUAUACAGUCUAGUCUAUUUGCAUCGUUGUCAAAAUUUAUAUGUUCUUUUAGUUUCUUCACUAAAGAGUCCUAUUGUAGGAGACUAUGUCCUUCAAUUUGCCGAUGACUUCACUUAUACUGAUCCUGUAAGUGAUGUGUAUAUCUAUAAUGCCCUCUGUGAUUAAGCAAAACCUAAAAAGGUUGUUCAAUUAAAGUGCUAUAAAUUCACAGGUCGAUGGAAGUGUUGUAUCUAAGCAAGGUGUACGUUUUGUUUUUACUGAUGGAUCGAGGAUUAUAUUUCGCUUAUCGGUAUGUAUCUCUCUAUAGCCUUUGCUCUCAUUUUUUAAUAUUUUUAAUUUCAUUCUGGUUUCCACUUAAUUACUGCUUGGUGUAAAUAACUAAAUCUGGUAACUUUAACAGGGAACUGGCUCUGCAGGCGCAACAGUUAGAGUCUACAUUGAGCAGUAUGAGCCCGAUGUCUCUAAACAUGACAUGGAUGCUCAGAUUGCUCUGAAGCCAUUAAUUGGUCAGUAACGUCAGUCCAUUAUUUUGGCAUAAAUUAAUCGCAAACAUGAUAUUGUGUUAACUAAUGUAUGGUGUCAUGAUCUCAGAUCUUGCAUUGUCUGUUUCAAAGCUCAAGGACUUUACUGGAAGGGAAAAACCUACGGUCAUUACAUAAACAGUUUUGUUAAUAUUACACAACGCAAGGAAAAUAAGUUGUUUUAGCAUGUCGGCAUUUGGUUACUUAGUUCCUUUUUUUAUUUAAAAUUACUCUUUGAUUUUUAUUUUUUUUAAUAUAAGUGUGCUCCAGGGAACCAAUAAAUAGCUCCUUUGUACAGCACAUAUCUUUGUUUCAAGGUAAAUAAUCCCCCCUCCCCAAUGUAUGUAGGAAACUCUGUUACUGCUAUUAUGCUAGCUGAGUACCUGAGUUUGAGAAGUUGUAAUCUAUGCAUUAAGCUGCAGAGAAUUUUUUAACAGGAGGUUAGUGUUAAUAGUCCAAAAAAUCAGGUUUAUAGUUGGUAUUCGAAGCAGCCAGCAGGCUUCCCCUUCGGAGUGUGCUAGGUAUGGGGACUAGUGCAUUCGGCAUGUGCGUUCCCAUGGACAGUAGUUUAAAUUUGACUUGUCGGCGGUUUAGUGAAUUUAUGGUUAUGUGUCAUGAUUUUUGGAUAGGAAUUUUUGGGAACCAAAGAACUAUUAAUGAAAAAACUCAACUAACUUGUCAUUUUUUUGCCAAAAAACCUAUAAACUUUUUUUUCACCAAUAACCCCAAUAAACUUUAUUAAAUCUUUGAAAAACAUUUAACUAGAGUUAUUUAUAAUUGUUGUGGACUAACCAUGAUCAUCACAUAUCCUAUGUGGUAAAUUAAUUACAAUUAAUCAAAAAAAUAACUGAAAAUUCAGCACUACUAAAAUCAGCUUUUAGAUGGUUGAUCAGCAGCUCAUUAAGACAGGGAAGUAAUAAGCUCUCAUUCAAACAAUGAACAGAUUGAGAACUGCUCUGCCGUCAUCGUUAUUACGACUGAAAAACUCUGAGACAUUUCAUCCACCUCUUUCUACGUGGUUGAUAUUCUAUGUAGAAAAAAUGUAUCUUAUGAUGUAUAUUACUGUGUGAAAUCCUUACUUAGCUACUCGAGCAUAAACAGUUAACCAAGCUUCAGGUCUAGCCGUGCAGCAUAUCAAGCAGCAGAAUAGGGACUCUGAAUUGAGUAAGACAUAUUUUAACCACUUAGCACAAACAAUCCACCAAAAUACAAACAAAUUACUCAACCAUAUACUCUGUCCAAUCAAUAGUCCCGAACAACUCCAAACAAACACCCCCUAAAACUCUAUAAAAAUUAGUCGCGUGAGACACCUCAACCAAACCUGUGAACUCAGGAAAACAUAAAAACCAGUUCCAUCUCCUGAAUUUUGUAUUGAAUGGAGUCAUAAAUAACACCCCAUCUGCUAAUCUUUUCACAUACCAUCUGAUUACGUCAAAAUGAUAACCCCAUUAAUUUAUUUCGAACAUCAACUCAGCCUUUACAAUAAUCUGCCAAUAUCACACAUCUUCAGUUGUUUUCAUUUUAAUUUUUAAAUCUAAACUAACAAAUAUCAUAUUAUAAAUCAUUUUAGUAAAUGACUAGGCGCUACAUGACAGUGGCACACACAUGUAUAAAAAGAUACAAAUGAAGGAAAGAUACGUGACAAGUUACAUUGGUAGAUUUAACCAUGGUUUACUUUGUAUUUAUUUUUAUACUUUUAAUAAAGUUUAUUGGGGUUGUUAAAGAAAACAGAAGUUUAAAGGUUUUUUGGCAAAAAAUUGACAAGUUGAUUGAGUUUUUUGGUUAAUAACUCGGAACCAAAUUGUUUUUAAGGUAUUUUUAAGAAAAUUUACUUACUAAUAAUCAUCAAUCAUCAGUGUACUUAUAUAAAGGAGAAGCGAGGGGCGUGUAGGUGGCGCCUCUCAUAUCACUCCGUUCUAUUUUUCUAAUUUUUUGGAAUUUUUGGACGAAAAAUAUAGUUUCAGAUUAAUUGAUAUGGUAUAUAUCUUGACAUAAAUUAAUCUGAUUCUGUUUCAGAUUAUUUAUGGAAUAUAGUAGCUUGCAAACUUUUUAAUCUGAUUCUGUUUCAGAUAUUUAAUUAUGAAAAAGAUUAUGGAAUAUAGUAGCUUGCAAGCUUUUUAAUCUGAUUAUGUUUCAGAUUAUUUAAUUAUGGAAAAAAGUAGCAGACAAGUCUCUCUACGUCUAUAAAUACCCCCCAUACGUGGUAGGGUUUUGGAUCAUUUGAACACAACCAAUCCAAAGAAACUGGAAGAAAGAGUCACUAAUAUACACCUGCAUGGAUUGGAAUUCAUACGUCCCGAUAUGAUUAAUGUUAGUUAUACAUAAUUUUAUCCCCAUUAAAACUGGGGAUGAUUUUGGAGUUGCAUAUCUUUGACUUUUACACACUUAUGUUCUUGCAAGCUUACUGUAUGUUUUAUUGGUCAAUCAAUGUACAUGGUCUCAGAUGUCAUCAAUCAGUUCUGUUAAAGAGCCGUAUGCUUUUUACAUGUAGGGCAUGAUAUAUGUGUAAGAAGCAGUGUUUGGAAAUAAUGACAAUGUUAGUGAAAAACAUGAUUACUUAUAAAAAAAUACAACUAAAAUUAAGAUUCGUCAUGAUUUAAAUCGUUAAUUAUAUGUAUAAAUUUAUUUUCAUUUUUUCACUCAUGAAUUAUAAUCCAAUUUUGUAAUGUUAUAUAUUAAUAUUGGUAUUGCAUCAAAAUGUUUAUAAUAUAAAAUUUAUUUUAUUCCACAAAUAUUAAUUUUGAAUCAUUAAUAUAAUUUUUAUAUACUGCCACACAUUUAUUUUAUUUUAUAAAUAAUUAUUUAGAAUCAUUAAUAUAAUUUUUAUAGACCGCCGCAACGCGCGGCUUCUCAACUAGUAUACUUAUAUAAAGGAGAAACGAGUGGCGUGUAGGUGGAGUCUCUCAAUAGCUCCCCUCUGUUUUUCUAAUUUUUUGUAAUUUUUGGAUGAAAAAUAUCAGAACUAAAAAAUUAUCAAUUUUAGUUUCGGAUAUAUUGACAGCAAGUUUCAGAAUUACUUUUUUCAAAAUAUAAAAAAUAAAAUCUACCUAACUUUUUUAGCGUUAAAAUUAUCGGAAGAAAAUUCUAAAUUAUGGUUUAAUGUAUGCAACUUCUGCAACUAUGGUUGCAAAGGUUGCAAUCAUAGUUGCAAAGGUUGCAAAUAAAUUUUCAACUCCUACAAACAAGAUUAUAAUAUGAUUUAAUUGAUAGUUUUUUUUGAAAUAUUACUAUUAAGAUGGUUGCCCCUGCGGGGCCUAUUGUACAUAAAAUCAUCAACUCAAACAAAAGUUAUUUAAAAUCCUAGAAUUUCAAAAUAAUGAACAUUAUCAACAGUAAUAAUUGCAUAAAAUUUUAAUUAGAGAAUUCAUCAAACCAAAAUAACUACAAAGUACUGUCAUUAAACAAAGAACUACUUAAUGUCAUUAAACAAAGAACUACUACUUAAUGUCAUUAAACAAAGAAUACAAGUCAUUCUUUAACAUCUUUUGUCUUCACAUCUUUUGUCUUUGUCUUUCGCUCAUAUGCCAUUGUUGUUGGAGGAUUUUUAGAUUGAACCUUUGUAGUAUUAUCGAAAUCAUUCUCAUAGCCGUGUAUUUGCUGGUACUUAUUGUUGGUACUGAGUUUCACUCUUUUGUGAUCUUUAACUGGAAUGAUAUGAUCCAUCCCCUGUAGAUGAAAACAAGACAUGUGUCAGCAACAUGUAAGCCUUUACAAAUAUUUAAUUACAAGCUACAACCAUGUUUGCAACCUUUGCAAGCAUGGUUGCAGAAAUUGCAAACAUGAUUGCAAAAGCGGCAAACAUGGUUGCAACCAUGGUUCCAACGUCUGCAAACAUGGUUGAAAGGUUGUAACUGAUACAAAGAGACAUAUUUUAUGAGUGCCCCCGCGGGGCCUACAAAGAUAACACAAAAAAGGGAAAAUAGGAAUAGUAAAUACCUUAUUAAUAGAAAUUGGAUCAUCGUAUGUAAAUGGCUAACUUGGACCUCUUAUAUAUCCUUGACUACAACCUUAGUUUUUUGAGUUAUCUUGCAUUUUUGAAGGCGUAGCUAUAUUGGACGUUGAGCCCGAGGAUGCCUCAUCAAUGAAAACCUGAUCACUUUGGAUAGCUGACGUAGCCUUCUUAGUAUUCAAGGUUGCCUUGGGUUGUUUUUAUCUAUCUUUUGCUUUGGUGGCAAAUCGGAUGGACUUCAAACUCGGGGAUGACGACAACCUUGUGCGAACCAUGUUUGCAACUGCCAAAAAAUAUAUUAUGAAAGAGACAUAAAGCCCCAUCAUAAUACUAUCAGUGAUUAUCUUUUAAUGCAACAAAACAAAUGAAAUGGUGCAAAAUUGAUAUUAAAGUUGCAUAUUCGACGACCAAGUAGGAUAUAAACUAUAAAGUACUUUGCAUGAACAAGCUAACAAAAAGUUUUGCAAUAAAUAACCUAUCAUCUGUCGCAUUAGUUGCAACCCUAACCGCCAUUGCAUCAUACAACUGUUCAUUUACGCAUUCACUUUCCUAGUACCUUCAAAAUGGCUGAUUGCCUAAAAGAGAAAUCCCUUUGGUCUACUGAUUAGCAGCAAAGGAAAAAGUAAAUUGAAUUCAAAUUUCAUACAGUCACGCAAAUGAUAUCAUUAUUUCUUCUAAUAUAUAUUUUAAGAUAUCUGUCAAAGAACUAAGACGUUAUAAUGACAAUAUCGUAAUGCCAGGAUUCAAACAAAAACUAUCACAUUGUUAGUAUCUAUUAAAUAAAUUGGCGAUGAUGUAUCAACUACAUAAAACACAUCAAAAACUCAAAAAUACAUUUCAAGAUGAAAGAAAAGGAUGCAAUAACAUAUUCUUCAAAUAUGGGUAGUUUAAAAGGUCACCUUAAUCCAGGAGCUACACUUUUUCUAGUCACUUCUACAGUGGUUCCAAAUUCUACUUGAUUAUAUGAAUGGCGAAUGAACACUUGUAUACAUAUCUUGCGCUCUUGCGCAAAAACAUAAAAAAGUAUCUUAUAUUUCAAUUUUUAAGCAAAGAUUACAUGAGUAAUGAAUGAUCGCUUUUAAGUUUUUGAGUCUGACUACACACACUAAAACAUUUGCAUUAAUUUAUAAUGGGAGUUAAUUAGUCCGUAACCACAAGGUACAAGAUUCUUCAUAAUUACAAAUUACAAACAUAAAUGUAAAAUAUGUGAGCUUCAUAAAACCAAAUGAAUGACUAGAAUAGCAUCCAACAAUACUCUGUAUAUAAUUGACCUGCCUGUCCUGUAUGUGAAAGUAAAGUUUUUGUUAAAAUUUUAAAGUGUGAAAUAGCUUCAUCAAACACUUUCAAGCGAACACACAAUGUUGCAUUAGUCACGACAGAUACAACUUAACGUCUCAAGAGCUCAAAAAUUACAAAACACAAAAACUUAUAACAAUCAACAAUCACACUCAAUUACAAUUGUACAAUAAUUCAAAACUUAGACGCGGGGGGGGGGGGGGGGGGGGGGGGGGGGGGGUGGAGAGUAUAGCAUACAUGUUGAGAGAGGUCUCUACGGAGGUGGAGAGACUUGCGAGAGACGAAGGAAGCAGCGAGGCACGACGGAAGCAGCGAGAAACGAAGGAAUGGAGAGAGAGACGGAGUAAUGUAGUAGUGCUUGAGAGAGAGAGAGACGAAGGAGAUGUCGUAAUUUUGAAAAGAGUAAAGGUGAGAGACAAUGGUAACGGUAUAAUUAAAAAAACGGUAGUAUAUAAUUGAAAGUGUAAGUUAGGGGUAGUAAAAUUGUAAACAAAAGUUAUAUAUAUAUAUAUAUAUAUAUAUAUAUAUAUAUAUUCUUGUAAAUUUCUCUAAAACAUAUUAUAGAAAACUAAAUUUUGAAGAAAAAUAUAAUUAACCGGUUAAUAUAAUUUAAUCAAAUUUUAAUUCAUCAAUUUUGAAACUACUAAAAUAAUAUUAAAACUUAAAUUAUAAAUAAUAAAUUCAAAACUACACCGUCACUCAUACUUCGCACAGAUUUAAAGCUAGUAUAUCAUAAAACAAAGAUUUGGGUAUGAUACUCUUAACCAUACAAAGCACGAUUCCCAAUAAUACAGAUCAACUAGAAGUUACUUAAUUCUUGUAUACACAAACAUGCAAUUCAUAUCACACGAGCAUAUUUACAAUCAUCAACAAUCCAUCAAAACAUCGCAUAUCUAUGUGUUUCUAAUUCAGAUCACAUCUACAAUUAAACAUGUAAUUCAUAUCAUACGAGUAUAUAUACAAAUACAAUCAUCAAUAACCCAUCAAAACAUCGCACAUCUAUGUGUUUCUAACUCUGACCAUAUCUGCUUUCAACCUUUAGUCCAGGUCCUCAGCAUAUGAUUGUUGGGGAGCCGGUAACCAACACACAUAUUCCCAACAAUUGGAUAAGUUCACGACCCGUCAAAUUCAAAAAAAAAUUUCGCACGUACAACGUUUAAAAAUAGCUGAGAAAACUUUUUUAACCACUGUACGUGUAAAUAUUUUUACGCGUACAACGGUAAAAAAGCACUAUAAGCACAUAAUGGUUUGGACUUGACUAUUGAUCAUUUGUUUGCGGCCUCGCCCGUGCCUGCGUAUUUUUUGCACCCGAUUAGACCUAAUUCGGACCAAUUCUUGCAUUUUGUGCCUGUUGUUGUUGUUGUUGUUGUUGUUGUUGUUGUUGUUGUUGGUGCUGCAGCAUUGGAGCAGCAACAUCAUCAUAAUCAACACCAUCAUAAUCAGACGGCUGUGAUUCCGGGGCAGUAUAGACAAAUGGGGCAAUUUAAGCAUCCCCGCAAUGUGGCUAGGCAAGCACAUCAACAACAACAUGUUCAUAUGAUAAGAACACAUGUGCAUAAGCUAAUGCCAGCUUCAUAUAUUGAAGAAUUGGAAUCUGCGACAGGUUCAUAUGAAUAAAGCACCUCUGCAUAAGCUAGUGCUAGCUUUAUAUAUUGAAGAAUUGAAAUCUGCAACAGCUACAGUCGCCAAUGACUUCAUAUAUUAAAGUAUUGAAAUCCGCGACAACUCCAUAUAUGGAAGAAUCGGAAUCUGCGACACUUUCAUAUAUCAAAGAAUUGGAAUCUGCGACAACUACAGUAGUCGAUGAUUGAAUUCACAUAUGGGGUAUAUGUAUUAUUAUUACCUUUUGUACUUUUAAUAUAUUAUCAUGUUUGCAGUGAUGACUCGGAAUAUGAGUUUAGAAUUGUGAAUCAAAUAUUUACACGUACAACUGUUAAAAAACGCUUUACAUCUAGUAUCCACGAUUUUUAAGCAUUGUAAGUUCGAGAAACUUUUUAAAUCUAGACCGUUUGUUAACUCAUCCAACGGUUGAGAAUAUGUGUAUUGGUUACUGGCUCCCCAGCAAAUCAUAUGUUGGUUUCUCAUCCAACGGCCGGGAAUAUGUGUAUUGGUCGCCGGCUACCCAGCAAUCAUAUGCUGUGAACCAGGACCCUGAAACUUGGCCCUUAAACUUUCAAUUUAAAGGUAAAAACUUAAACACAUAAGUUGUGACGAAUGAAAAGAUCUUUUCAAAAAAAUAUGACUCGUUAAAACACGAUUUGCCUUGAAUCAAGAACUUAAUAAGAAGUUAGUUGACUCGAAAUUCAAAGGGAAAAAUAAGAUCCGAAGAAAUUUUAUUCUAUCAAGAACCAUUUGAAUAAUAAUCAGUAGAACAAUGCAACAAAAUUCGUAGAAAAUUGGAAGAGUUUUCUGAAACAUCAAUAAUCAAUGAAGAAUUUACUCUACCAAUAAAAAAGAUGAUGGGUAAGUAAGAGGGAACAUGAUACAUAUAUAGAACUUAAAAACUCUAAUUCUAAACAUAUUAGUUAUUUCAAUUCUAAUUCAAUUUUAUAUCCCAACCCUAAUCAAAAUGAAUCGUUUAUAUAUAUGACUAGUUGAGAAGCCGCUCGUUACAGCGGGUUAUAAAAAUUAUAUUAGUGAUUCAAAAUUAAUAUUUAUAAAAUAAAAUAAAUUUGCGGCGUCUUAUAAAAAUUAUAUUAAUGAUUCAAAAUUAAUAUUUACAGAAUUAUAUAAAUUUCAUAUUAUAAACAUCUCGAGUAUGAAAAAAAAUACAUGAGAGUAUAUCCUUGUCAUUAAUACGAACAUUAAUAAUGUCGGGACGUAUGAACUCAAAUCCAUGCAUGGGGUAUAUUAGUGUUUUUGAUAUGCACCUUUUUAAUAAUAAGGUCAUAGUCUUGGAAGAAAGGUAAUUUUGUUUCUUAAAAAUUAACAACAAACAUGUCCGAGAUGAACAAAACAAAUAUUACAAAGAAAUAACAACAAACAUAUAUUAUUAAUAGUUAAUUUAUUGACCUUUUCAUCCAUCAAUAUCAUGUCAAGAUUAUAUAUACUAUUCUCCCAUGUUUGGAUUUGUCGAUUCCCACAUCCGACAAACUCUUACUCUUAUCAGCCAAUUAUCUCUGUCGCCAUUCAAAGCAUCUAACAUAUCAAACAGAUAUUGUGGAAGUGUUGCAUGAAUAAUAUUUUGUUGUAUACAACUAUAUAAAAAUUAACAACAAACAUGUCCGAUGAGCAAAACAAAUAUUAUAAAAGAAUAACCAACAAACAUAUAUCACUAGCAGUUAAUUUAUUGACCUUUUCAUCGAUCAAUAUCAUGUUAAGACUAUAUUCUUCUCCCAUGUUUGGAUUUGUCGACUCCCAUAUCAGACAAACUCUUACACUUAUCAGCCAAUCAUCUCUAUUGUCAUUCAAAACAUCUAGCACAGUAUAACUCAUCAUUGUAAAAGAUGGGGAAGAUAAAUAGGCACAAAGAAAUCAUUUAUGUUAAAUUUUAGAUAAAUUUACAAAAAUACAUAUACUUUUAACCUUUGUUUUUAAUGUUACCGUGAUUAAUUUACUCUUUCAAUUCUAUAUUAUUGUUUUUUUUACUUUUACCAUUUAGUUUUAGUUUUAUGUUUCACUCUAUAUAAAAAUGCGCUCCUUCAUUAUCAAAGCAAAAGAAGAGUUAGCAGGUCUUCUUCUCCUCCAUUCACGGAACUGAAGCUUCGUCGUCUUCUCCUCCAGCAACAUCAUAUCCCAUUUGGCGAGUUUCAACAUAUUAUCUAUCGUCGAUUAUCUGAAUUCGUAAUCUCACACACAAUCUCUCUCUCUCUCUCAAGCUUUUCAUUCUAAUUUUCAUGUAUUGAUGAUUCCAAUAGUUUUCAUUGCAUAAUAAUAUUGAUUGUUUAUCGGUGUUGGUAAAAGGAUUGGAAAUAUGGUUGUAUUUCAAUUAGUUAAAUUGUUCAUUAAGUGUUUGAUAUAAUGUCAUAGAGAAAUACUAAUUGCAUUUUUUCUAAUUUUGGUUACUUUAAAAGUUGUAUUCUUGUCCUUAUAGUAUGUGAAACAAAUGCAAAUAAAUGUAUUUGAUUUUGAUUUUUGUUGCUAGCUGCUAACUCCUAAUCCUGUUGAUAAGGAAUUUCUUGAUUCCAUGUGAUAUCAUUCCAGGCCACGCAAGGGCAAUUAUCCUAAUUAUCUAUUUCGACUAGCUUGCAACCUUUGUAAUCGUACUUGUAGCCUUUGCAAUCAUGGUUAUAACUUCUUGCAAGUUCUGCAAACAUGCUUGCAAAGGUUGCAACUUACGAUUAUACAUUUAUAAAAGCUCACACAUGACUCACACAUGUUGUGCAUACAUUCUUUCGGAAGAACAACAGUAUCCGAGUGGAAGAAAAGCAAUGAGAUCAACCCGCCUUUUUUUAUUUGAUAUGCGAUCACACUUUAAUUUGGAGUUCUCUAAAUUACUGUUCAUUGUCGAUUAACAUGUAUAUAUAUAAGAGACAUUCUAUAUAUAAUUCAGACAUGUAUUAUUCACUAAUUGUCGCUCUAUCCACUCAGAUUUUGUAGGCUUUUUUUUGGUCUUUCAGUUUUGAAUUGUGUGGAAAAGGCUCCGCAUGGGGCUUCCAUCUUAACCAGUUGCAACCUUUGCAACCCUGUUUGCAACCUUGAUUGCAGAAGUUGCAACCCUUACAUUAUUUAUGUAAAUCACAUUAUUUAAUUUUAACUAAGGAUUAGUUCUAAUUAUAUUUGAUUGUCUUUUUUUUAUUGACAAUUUUUUUUUAACUAUUUGUGAAAGGCAUAUGUUAAGCCUAUUUGUAAUUAAGAGGAAUCAACUCAACUCUGAUAAGAAAGCAAGUAAAUAGCAAGUACUGUUAUCCGGAAUCCGUAUGAAGAACGUCAAAUGAUUUAUUGAAGAUUUUAUGUCAGAAGAAUUUCAGGAUGCUGCUGCAAACCACUGGAAGAAGUUCAUUAAUAUGAUCAAGCCUCAGUGUACAAAUAAUCUUUUGUAGCACGUCCAGAAGAUCAGAAGGUAUAAAGUUUCAAUACUUUAUUUAUUCAGAAGAUUCCAUCAUUGUGUCUACAAAUGAAGAAGAACUAAGAAGACGAAGAAUCGACGAACAAGUCACAGCUUAAUUGUUUAAAUGACAAGGAAUAUUUAAUUGAGCUAGUUACAGAUGAACCAGACAGUACAUUUGUGUAUCAGCUCAUCUGAUUAAAUAUUCUACGUCAAAAAAAAGUGGUCGUUCACUCAAGUCGAAGAUCUUAAUUGUCUACAGAAGACUGAAGACUCUGAAGAAGAAGAAAAGGGAUAAUUGAUUAUCUAAUUAUUUAAUCCAAUUCUCAAAAUAAUUAUAUAUGAUGUGUAAUUUAUUUAUUAAAUUAAUUCUAUCUCGAAUUAAUUUAAUUUAUGAAUUUAUGCAUUUAAUAUAAUUAAGUGGAUGUUAAUUGGUUAAUUAAUUAAAGGAAUAUAAGCAUUUGUCUUGUUGGAUCAAAAGGAAAGACAAUUACUAUGAUUGUCUUAAGAAAUAACAAGGUAAGACAAUCAAACAGAUUGUCUUACCGUGCCAUUUCCUUCCUCCAACACACGGUAAGACAAUCCCUCAGAUUGUCUUACCGUGCCAUGCAAUUGUCUUACCGUGUGGAUGCCAAGACAAACCCACAGAUUGUCUUACCGUGUGGCUUCCAUGACAAUCCAUCUGAUUGUCUUACCGUUUGGAGUAGACAAACCCACAGAUUGUCUUACCGUGUGGCUUCCAUGACAAUCCACCUAAUUGUCUUACCGUUUGGAAGGAAAGACAAUCUUACAGAUUGUCUUACCGUGCCCUGAUUGUCUUACCGUGUCCCUGAGAUUGUCUUACCGCUUCUGAUUGUCUUACUAAGCUAUAGACAAUGCUUAUGAUUGUCUUACCUUAUGUUUUUCAGCAAGACAAAGUGCCAAAUUGUCAUAGCAACCACUAGAUUGUCUUUGCCACCAUUGUCUUGCCUAGUUCUUGAGAUUUGCCUAUAAAUAUGGUUCAUUCUCAUUCAUUUGUAAGUGUUCAAAGUGCUUGUAAGCUUUCAAGUUGUGCUAAACUUGCUAUUCGUUAAAACCACAGUUUACUGUGCUUUGAUCAUUCGGUUGUUUUGUUCCACUGAGUUAGAAUACUUUCUGUCAAAUUUAUUCUACGAACUAGUGGACAUUAAAACGAACCAUAUUAAUUAUAUAACGACUUAAAACAUUGUUAUAUUAAUUAAUCUUAAUCUGAUUAACAAGUUACAUUCCAAUCAGAUUUAUUCCGCCGCGAUUAUUUUUAGUGACGAUUGUAUUCAACCCCCCCUUCUACAAUCGUUCCAGGACCUAACAAUCUGUGUUGCACUUCAGAGUGGAAGCACUUUUUUCUCUUUGUCGUAUAUCAAUCAAGUUACGGCCAAUGUUGAUGAUUGAGAUGCUUGGCUCCAAAACAAAAAAAAUAUUGCUGAUAAGAAUGUAGAAAUUGAAUAUGAGGAAGAAAAUAUAGAGGAUGAGGGUGAGAAUUCAGAAGAUACAUUUCAGAAUGUUGUGGUUGACAAUGAGGUUAAGAAUAAUAUUAGAAUCAAAUUGCAAAGGGUGGGCGCGAGGUUGCAAAGGUUGGAACUGGUGUCUCAAAUGUUGCAGCUGAGGGCAAUGAGGAUACAACAAUGCAUGGAAGAGAAUCGAAAAAUUCUUCAACAACAAAGGUUUCAUCAAAAAAUGCUCCAAUAACAAAGCCAUGUGAAGAAAAUAGAAUGAAAAAAUGAGUUGUAUUUUUCAUUAAAUGACAUUAAGUAGUAGAAUGUUGUUGACAUAACUAUAUAGUUCUUUUGGUUCAAGGAAUUUGAUAUUUUAUAAUCAGAAGUGAGUAAAACAAUGCAUGGACCUCAAUUGGUAUAAUAUGAAUAAAAUUUGAAAUCAUGUGGAAUAGGCCCCGUAGGGGCACCCAUCUAAAUCAGUUGUAAUUUUUUGCAACUAUGGUUGCAAAAGUUGCAAACAUGGUUGCAAAAGUGGAAACCAUGGUUGCAAAAGUUGCAAACCACAUCUGCUACUUAUGAGAUAUAGUUUUUCUGUUUAAACAAUAUAUGCAAUAUUUUUGCAACUUAAUCAACAUGCAAUUCUACUCAAAGUCAAAAGAACUUGGAAAUUUAUAAACACAAGUCAUAUCGGCUGCAUUAGUAUUUUCAACUUGAUCAAAUUACCAAUUCACUUAUGAUUUAUUUAAGAUAUUUUUCAUAAAUACCUAAGUCCAAAAUUGUUUUUACAAAAAUAUAUCAUCUUUUUUAAAUAUUUUGCAAAAACACCAAAUUUUGAAAAUAUUUGCAAAAAUACUGUAUGCAACCUGUUGCAACCACAUGCAACCAUACUUGUAACCACAUGCAACCAUAUUUAUGACCCCUGAUAAGUGCAUAUUUUUGUAUAUUUUAAAUGCCUAAUUAUUGCUUGUUCUCACUUAUUUAUUUGUUUAUUUGUCUUUUUUGUAGGAAUAUUGCAAAUGCUUGAAGAAAUAAAAGAAUAAAGCAAAAAAGAGAAAAAGAUGGAAGAAAAGGAUCAUAGGGGAAUAUUCUCAAGGAAGCAUCUAGAUGGGACACCUACACCCCCCCUCUACCCUAAUUUCCCCCUAUAAAUACACACCUCCCCAUCAUGUUUCAACCAACCUAGGAUUUCAUAUUUUUAGUAGCCUCUCUUUUAUGUAGUAGAUCUAGUAGUAGCACUCUAAAUUUGUAAACACUUUUAUUAUAUCAAUACAAGUAUUCAUUUUUGUUCUUAAAUCUUGCUCUUUACUUUUACUUCUAGGCUAUAAAAACUUUCUCUAACCACAUGAGACUCAAAAUUACUUGUGGAUUGAAGGGAGCCUAAUUAUAUGUUUUAAGCUUGCAAUUUUUUAGUAUUUAAAUUGAGCCCCUUUUAAUUCUCAAUAUUAUUAGUGGGUUCAAUGGUUUAGUAUUCUAGAUUUUGGUUUUAGCUUGUAGUUUGAUGGGGUUUUGUUAGAUACAUGGUAGAUAAGCUAGUUUUGAAGUUUUGUUUGAUUUGGAGUUAGUUUGGUAGGAUUUGGUAUUGUUCUUGUUCUUGGUUUUGGUAUUUUUUGGGGCUUUUGGGUGUAAAUUUUAGUUUGUGAUUUUGAAUUGAGGUUAGUGGGUUUAUGUUAGAAAUAUUUUGCUUAGGUUAGAUUUGAAAUUUGGUGUAGUUUAGAGUUGUUAUGAUUUGAUUUGAGUCUUAUUUUGGUAAAAAUGGGUAGUUUAGGGGCUUUUUAGUGUAGAAUUUGUUGUUGAAUUUGAUUUAAAGGUUAGUGGGCUUUGAUUUGUAAUAUUUGGAAUGGCUAGAUUUUCCGGUCAAAUAAAUUUUCCGGUGAGAUUUAAGCUAUUUCGGGCACCUCCAUGAUUCCGGCGGGUUACUCUUGACUUUUCCGUCGUCCGAUAAAUGUUUUAGUUUCUGUUUGUUUUCUGGUCAGUACUGUUGCUUUACGUUUCGACCACGCGUCCAUUUCUUUUAUUAUUAUUAUUAUUAAUUUGUUUUCUGAUCUGUUGUGUUUGCUCGGUAGUCACGUGAUUAUAUUAUUAUUGUUUUCCUCCCGCGAACUGUACACACACAGUCACUAAUCCUUAUUGUAUUGUUUUAUCCGAUUAUUAGUUAAUUAUGUAAUUAAGUAUUUAGUUAACAGUAUUAAUUAGGUAGUAUAUUAUAAUAAUAAAAUCCUUCAAAAAUUAAUCGGUCUAAUUCGCCUAGGUUAAUAAUUAGAGGUCGCGAAAAGUUAAAUUUAAUCUCUGUGGACGAAUCUAAAAUAUUAAAACGGUGAUCGUGCGCUUGCGAUUUAAAGGUAUUAUUUAUAGCACAUCAAGUUUUUGGCGCCGCUGCCGGGGACUAAAAUUAAUUUUCACGCCUUAAUUUUUAAUUUUUCGGAUUAGUUUUUUUUAUUAUAUAUUCUCUCACUUUUUUUUUGUUGAAUUUUAGGAAAUUGGAGGAAUAUGAGCUAGCUUGGAAUAAGUGGAGAAUAUUCUUGGAGUAUUGGAAGCUUGCUUGGGUAACUUGUAUCUCUCUCCUAUCCCCUACGGGGCCAAUUAACUGAUGUUGCAUCUGGUUGCAGACCGUAUUUUUGCAAAAUAUUUUUAAAAAGUAGGUAUUCUUGUAAUUUUUUUCAAAAGAUAGUAAAAAUCGCAUAAAAGUUAGAAAAAGUGGUAUUUUUGAUAAAUUCCCUUUAUUUAAUAUCUAUUCAUUAAUUUUUUUCACUUAAUGAUUUUAUGUAGAAUAGGCCCCGCAGGGGCACCCCUCUUAAAAGUAAAAUUCCAAAUAAUAUGUCAGUUAAAUCAUAUUACAAUAUUUUUUGGAGGGGGUUGAAAAUUUGUUUGCGCGCAAUUGUUACAAUCAUGGUCGAAACAUUUGCAAUCAUAGUUGCAAAAGUUGCAAGUAUGGUUGUAGCAUUGCAAAAGUUGCAAUUAUGGUUGUAGAAGUUGCAAACCACAUAUGCUACUUACAACAGAUACUUUUUCUAAUUUAAACAAAAUACGCGAUCUUCUCCUACUUAAUGAACAUGUAAUUCUACUCAAAGUCAAAAGAACUUGGAAACUUAUAAACACAAGUCAUAUCGGUUCCAUUAGUAUUUUUUUUUGCUAAGCAUUCCAUUAGUAUUUUCAACUUAAUCAAAUUAGCAAUUCACUUAUGACUUAUUUAAUAUCUAUUCAUUAAUUUUUUUCAGGUAACCAUCUUAAUAGUAAGAUUUCAAGAAAUCUAUCCAUUAAUCAUAUCACAAUCUUGUUUGUAGGGGUUGGAAAUUUAUUGCAACCAUGGUCGCAAAAGUUGCAACCAUAGUUGUAGAAGUUGCAAUCAUGGUUGCAAAAGUUGCAAAUUGCAUAUGCUACUUAUGACAUAUAAAUUUUCUAUUUAAACAAAAUAAACAAUAUUUUUGCAACUUAAUGAAUAUGAAAUUCUAAUCAAAGUCAAAAGAACUUGGAAAUAAUAUAUACAGUAGGUAUAUCAAAUUAUAUAAUCACGGCAAAGAAAAAAAUGGAAGAAGUCGAUCUAGAAAUGGAACAAGUCCUUUCUGCCUGAUAUGUGGAUCAAAUGAGUUUACAAAGCAACUUAAAAGCCAUGGACCUAGGGUAUGAUUACAAAAUAGUAUUACAAUUGGACACACACACAGUAAUGUAAAUACAAGUAUCAAUUGCUCAGGUCUGACCAACAAGAACAUCUCUGUAAGGAGUUGGAUUUGGAGUUGUAGUAUGUUAAACUUCUACAUUAUUCCCUUUUCUCUUUCCCCUGCUCUUCAAGGAUGAGAGGUACUCAGGCUUCCCGUUCAUCAUCUAAUCGUCCGUGCUCCGCGUCUCAGUUUUUCUGGCCUUAGACCAUCUACUUGUUGCAUCUUGAACUUUGAUCACAUUUGCUAAUCCACCGAUGAAAAACAAAAGGCUUCCAAAUAUAUUUAACCAGAUCAAUGUUCCACUCUGCAUCCAGCAAUACAUUAUUUUUAACAAGUAUAUCCUAAAAAAAUUCUAUAAUAUACAUGCCUAUAAUUCAUAGACAAUAGAUCAAUAUCAUGUGUGCCACUCUUUGUCCCUUUUUUGCAGGGCAACAUAAUAGGUGCCUCCUCAAUAGAAUGUCAUCACAUUACUAAACACUUAAUCUAAUAAAGCAUGACAAACAUCAUAAACAAAGUCUCAUUUAAUCACAAACAUCAUAUCAUAAAUAUGCAUUCACUUCCUAAAACACAAAACUACACUCAUGAUUGCAUUAGAUCAAUACGAAACUAAAUUUUAUAUGUAUUUCUUUAACUACUUUUACCAACUGCAACUUUUGCUACCUUAUUUGCAACUUUUAUUAAUGUUUUAUGUAUUCUUUCCUGAUCAUAUGCUUCUGUCACAAUCAUGACUGCAUAAGAUCGAUAUGCAACUGAAUUUUAUAUGAUUAUUCAACAACUUUGACCCGUUGCAACUUUUGCUACCUUAUUUGCAACUUCUAUUAAAGUAUGUUCCUCAUCAUAUAUACAAUUCAAACACAACUCUCAACAACCAAUAUAUACUACAAUCAUGAAUAAAAACAUACAUAAAACACACAAAUAACGUACAUACAUACCGCUCUUCUAGAACAAAACUCAUUAUCUCAGUUUGCUAUCUCUAUAUCAAUUAACAUUCUUCAUAUAUACAUAUAUUACACACAUAAAUUCACUUACAAAUCUCAGUCGUUGCCGCUUGUUGCCGGUCCAAUUCAACUCGAAUUCACUGUCAAACUGCCCCGCAACCAAUUGAGCGCAGAAGAAGAAUUUAUGUUGGAGAAGCUGCAUGAUUGAGAGAGAUGAGAAGCUGCGUGAUUCCGAGAGAUGAGAAGUUGCGUGAGAGAGACGAGAAUUUGCGAGCGUUGAGAAGCUGCGGUUGAGAGGUUGUGAGAGACGAUCUGUUUGAGUGAGAGAGAAGCAGCUGUUUAUGACGAAUAUAAUUUUAAAAAUAAAAACUGUCAAACCGUACGCUUGUAAUAUGUGAAAAGUUGGACCGUAUAUUUAAAAGCCCAAUAGUUAAGUUAGAUAGUUAUAAAAUUAAGUGAAAUUAUGUUAAAGUUGUAUUCCUUACCACUUGCAUUCAUCUUUCUCAAAAAUUCCAGAGCACUGACUAGUAAUGGAAAUUAUACUAUUUUAUACCUGCUUUUUUACUUGAAUUUCCUCUUUAUUUAAAACUGGAGCACAUGAUGUGAAAGACCAGGAGUCUUGUUGAAAUGCUAUAAAAUUAGUGGCCUGAGAACUAAAUAUAACCAAUAUAUAAUAUACAGAAGCUUUUAUGACUGAAAAUAUUAAAAUUUUAUUUUGGUGCCAUUUAUUAAUGAAAUACAGAAGUAGGUCGAUCCAUAUAGGCUGCCUUUUUACUUAGGAAGUAAAUUCCAUGAUAUUGCAAUCGUUCUGGAAUUUUGACAAAUCACCGACAUUCAAAUUUACCCAAGCUUCAAUCCCUUCGCCUGAUUUAUCAGAAAUUAAGAUAGCACUAUUUUGGAGAGGGAUGUAGGAAGCACUGACCCAAAUAGGAAGUCCCCAGCCGAAGUCAGUUUCAUAAAAUGGAAACUUAGUCCAGUCAGAAAAUAUACAGACAAUGGAAUGCCCUGGUUUAGAAAUAGUCCUGUUUGUCAAAUUAUUGAAGGCAUGAGCUAUCAUCAUCUGCCCUUCAUCUCCAAGUGAGAGUAACGUCUUGCAGUCCUCGAGGGCUCUACUGACAGAGGCAGAAAGUUGCUUUACAAGAAUCGGCAACUCCACCCCUUUUUCAUCUGCAACAGAUUCAGCAGAAGUAAACAAAAACAUAUUACCGCAAUGGUCUUUGGGCAAUGGUGGAUGCAUUCUUUCCCUCAUAUUUAGUGCCUGGGCAAUCAUGAAUCUCUUAGGGUUUGCAGGGUUAGCCACAGAUAAAUCAAUAAUAGCUUUUCCUAUUAUCCCUAACACCGAUUGCACCUUUGAGGGUAACUUCUCGCUUAAGCUGUCUAGUUUGGCCUUGUCUCGAAUUCUGAUGAUAUCACUCUUGCUAAAAUAUAAAAAUUUUGUAAUGAUAUCAAGAUCCUCAACACUUUCUUUAGCCCUAGGAAUUCCAAAGGGAAUAGGUGACAGUUUUUUCCCUGGAAAGAACAAAGCUGAGUUCCAGCUUGGUGAGGUUGACAUGUGAUCAUCUUCCUCAGCGCCCUCUAAUAGUCUCUUUGAAUCAGUAGCCCAUUGUUUGAUGAAUGUGCAGGUGGUUGACAUGUCAGCAACUCUGUGUGAAGUCAUUAUGGCAAUGGCAUAUCCACCGCAGGCAAAAGUACUUAACUGUACUGCAAGCAGAGGGUCAGUGAUUUCAUCACUUGCACCAAUUGGAUAUGGGAGUAAGCAAUUAAGACCAUCAACCUUUAAAUAUUCCCUUCUGCCAAGAAGAUCAUGGAGCUCAACAUCUACUGUGGCUUCAACAAAGUAGGCACCAUCAUCACUACACUCAACCAUAUAAUAAUCUUUCAUGUAUCUUCCAGCUAAUGGAUAGAAUGGGGUCAAGGCUUUUGAUAAUGCCUUUUUCAAGAUAUUGCUACUUGAAUGGCUAGUAGAAUCACCGGUGCCGCAACUUCGGGUAUUACGGGGGUAAUAUAAAAUGACAGGAGUAUUCAUUGUUGGGCAUAGUUCAUCUACUAAUGAUAUACGAUAGUGCUGGAAGCUAGGUUUAGUAGAAUUGUAUGGUUUUAGAAGCUCCUUUGAUAGGAUGUCAACUUUCAUCUUGGUCUUCAAAGUGUGAGUGUUGUUGUUUUGAUUAUCUACUGGAUGGCUCAAUAUAUAGGGAAAUAGCCGACAAAAUGAACCAAUCAGGAAUUGGCACCAGACAGUGGACAGUCAACAGCAGACAACUACGAGUAAUAUAUAUUUGAAAGGACAACUAUUUCCUUAUGUGGCAACUGAGACAGCUUAAUGUACACUCAACAAUACACUAUAAUAAAACUUUAUAUAAAUGAACCAAUCAGGAAUGCGUUUGUACCUCAUAAUGAUUGGCACAGACAGUGGACAUUCAACAGCAGAGAACUAAUAUAUCUGAAAGGAUAACUAUUUCCUUUGAGGCGACUGAGACCGCGUAAUGCACACUCAACAGUACAUCGUGGAAACUCUUAGAAAUUAAUACGCGGUAAAUUAAUAAACUUUGUAAAAUAAUAAAUUUAUCCGGUCUCGACUUGGACUAAUGUAAAAAAAUGAAAAAAUCGAUAAAAUAAUAAGAUAAUAACUUUUUGGGAGAUCCCUUUAUAAUUUUCGGUCCCAAGAAAAUCAUAAAUAAAUUAUUUAUAGAAACUGAAAAAGAUAUAUUACCACUCUGUUGAAAUAUGAUUCAAUAGUUGUCUGUUUUCCUUUUAAAUUUCACAAUAUCUUUGAGAUGAGAAGCUAUCUUGUGAUAUAUGUUUUGAAUACUCUAACAUAUUCAUGUAAUUUAUAUAUGCCAAACUUGUCCAAGAAUAGGUUGAACACAUUUAUUCUAGAACAAAACUCUUAAUCUUUUUUUUUUUUGCCGGAACAAAACUCUUAAUCUUAGUUUGCUAUCUCUAUAUCAAUUUACAUUAUUCAUAUAUACAUGCAUUAAACACAUAAAUUCACUAUUAGCAUUAAUAUAUGUUAUUGAUGAUAGUUUUAUAUUUUUUAACUAAUUAAAAUUAUAGUUUUCACAUUUUUUUUAUUUAUAAAAUAUAUUAUUUAUCUUAUCUCGGUUAUAUGAUAAAUUCAUUUUGUUUCUGGAGUAGAAGACAUUGGAGUUAAAACGAUUUUCCCUUAUUUAUUUAAUUUUUUAUAUUUGAUUUCUAGUUUGUCUUUAUAAGUUAUAAAUUUAUUUAUAAGUAUUUUUAAGCAAGAAAUGUUUGCAAGAUUAGCUUUUUAAUUUUCAUGUAAGCGGCCAAGUAAAUUUUUAUUUGGGAGGUUCUUCAAUAUAAAAAUUCUCCGAUGAAAAAAAUAAAUACAUAUGAAAUUUUGAAAACCCUCAUGUUCAUUAUUUCUAUUUGUACUUUUAUUGCUCUUGUGUUUGAAUACAUAUCUUUAUUCGAAAUAGUGAUAAAUUUAGUAGAUUGUAUUUAACCCCUUUUACAAUCUAAUCUCAUUGUUUCAAUUGUAAAAUAAUGAUUGGUAUCGGAGCAGAAUUCUAAUAUACAAGAAUACAAGAAAUAAAGAUCGGAAACAAUCACUAAUGGGAAGAAUUGAUGAAGGUUUCAAUAUCCCAAUGCUUACAUGAAUUGUAUUGAGAAAGAUCCACAUGUCCUAGUUAAAAUCAACACUACUAUCGAAGGGGGUUGAAUAUAGUGGAAUACAAUCAAUUCGAACUACUAAUACAAAAUAUAUAUAUAUAUNNNNNNNNNNNNNNNNNNNNNNNNNNNNNNNNNNNNNNNNNNNNNNNNNNNNNNNNNNNNNNNNNNNNNNNNNNNNNNNNNNNNNNNNNNNNNNNNNNNNNNNNNNNNNNNNNNNNNNNNNNNNNNNNNNNNNNNNNNNNNNNNNNNNNNNNNNNNNNNNNNNNNNNNNNNNNNNNNNNNNNNNNNNNNNNNNNNNNNNNNNNNNNNNNNNNNNNNNNNNNNNNNNNNNNNNNNNNNNNNNNNNNNNNNNNNNNNNNNNNNNNNNNNNNNNNNNNNNNNNNNNNNNNNNNNNNNNNNNNNNNNNNNNNNNNNNNNNNNNNNNNNNNNNNNNNNNNNNNNNNNNNNNNNNNNNNNNNNNNNNNNNNNNNNNNNNNNNNNNNNNNNNNNNNNNNNNNNAUAUAUAUAUAUAUAUAUAAAACUCUUACAGAGAAUAUGACCGCUCGUAAUAUUCUUAAUAUUAAAAGUGACCCCAUAUAUUAUUAACCUAUGUUGUGUUUAUGUAACACACAGUUACAAGAUAUCUUCGAUAUAAAUCAGCUUCCUAAAAGCGAUCAAUCAGAUAUUCUUAUACUAAUCUUCCUAAAGUCCUUAGCUGUCAUAUCUCCAUAGAAUAGACAUGUUCCUGAAAAUCAGGGGCCUGCAACUCUCAAGAAUAUCCGUCUUGAAUAAACUAUGAUAUCUUCCUUGUUCCCGUAAACUAUCUUUAGUUAAACUUUGAUAUGCAUCUUCCAUACUUUUGUUUUAAUUGGAGUGUGUCAGUUCAAAUAUAACAAAUACAACGGCUUUUAUAUAUCUUUACAAAAUCAAUUCAAUGUUAAAUAAGUUCUGAUCCUAAUUUAAACAAUCUUAAUAUAAGGUUCUACUUAAUAUUACUAACUCAAAAUUAGCAAGGACAAGUUUGAUAAUGUCCAAAACUAAAAUUUAAAGUAUUAGAAAUAAAAAGUAUAGUUGAAUAGCUCAAAUGUUAAGAGUUUAUUCUCUGUCGCUCCACAUCUUAAUUCAGCCCGAGAGGAUAUCUUACUUACUUUUAAGGCAUGUGUUUGAUUAUUUUGAUUAACAAAAAAUUAGAUUCCAUCCUCAUCUCAGAUCGGGGUUCAACAUAUCUUAUUUGUAAGGCACGUGCUUGAUCAUUUUUAUUAAUUAAAAUUUAGAUUCAUUCCAUUUCAACACCUCUCUUCUCGUCAUUUCCGAGAAAGUCAGUGGAUAUUAUUAUUAUAUUUUAUUUAUGCAACUCUAAUAAUUUUGGAGUCUGAAAUCAAAAUAUUAAAAAUAUAAAAAUGUAGGGAGAAAAAUUACUCUAACUAUAUCCUUAUGAAUCCUUAAAUUAUUAAGAUCUUUCUUUUAUUAUUUAUAUUUAGCUAACCUCUCUUUUCUCUUAUUCUUAUUUCAUAAUAUAUGUUAGAAAUAAAUAGUUUCUUUCCCCACUUUAUAUAAUAACUAGCCCUAAAACCCGUGUAAGGCACGGGUGUUGUUCCUAGUCUUCUGAGGUUAAUUUCCACAUUUACCUAGUAGGUGUUUUAUGCACAAGAAACGUUUUGAAAGAAUGAAAUAACAGUUGCUGCAGCUGAAGGCCAAUUAGAAAUUGCAAGUAACUUUUGACGCGCAAGUUAGGCUAUGAAAUGGAUUUCCCAACCUGUAUCAAAUACGAAGAGCUAACGCUCUAACUAUGCAUAUGCAUGUACACCAUAUCGGAAUAGUUCAUUGUACAGUAGAGGCCAAAUACAGAAGGUUGCAUUGUAGGAAACCUUAGCAAUUAAUCGUUUAUAUGUGAGACCUACAUAUAUAACCAAUUGUUUUAAAGGUUUCUUAAAAACCUAUAUUUCUUGCAAGAGAUGAGAAUAUAACAUUUAGAUGGAGAAGAAUAAUUCCGGUAUCUAUGAAAAAGAUUAUUCUCAUUUAAAGAAUCUAAGAUAAGUGGAAUUUGACUUGUUAUAACCUUCAUCCACCUCAAUUUAUGUUGUCUGUAUCUUUUCUGUAUAAGAGAAAAUUAUAUUUUUUCUUACAAGAAAACAUAUAUAAUCAAUUGUCUCAUUGCAGUGGAUCAUCCCUAGUUAGUUGUGAGGCAAGAAAUAUUUUACUAAAGAAGUAGCUAAAAAAAUUGUGUCAAAAGUUGUAUCAGGUUGAGGGAUCCUAUGAUUCCUUUAACUCACCUUUAGUCUUCAACAUUUUUCAUGUAUUAUUUAUUACUAUUAUCUAAUGGCACGUGUAAUUCUAAUAUCCGGUGAGUUGUGAUCGUCAAGCAAUUUUCAGCCUCUUGUUCAAGUUUCCGACAGCCUGGACUUCUGUUGCAGUUGUUGUAUGUGGCUAUGUGCAUUUGUUUUUAAGGCCUCUGCCUCUCAGUGUGCGCCUAAUUUUGAAGCCUCCACAUCUGUGUGUGCGCCUACUUUUGAAGCCUCUGUAGCUACCUCUUCCAUGACUCUUGUGACUGUGUAUUCCUCACAUCCGUGUGACGUGUUGUAUGGUGUGACCUUAAUUUGAAAGACACAAACCUUUCCGAUGAUGUUAUUCACCGCUGCAGGAAUCUUGGACAUGUCUCUUCAUCCUAUGUAUAGGGAAGCAAUGAUGGUGUAAUAUUGUAAUGUGUAUUGUGAAACCCGAGUUGAAAUUGUUAUUACCUGGCCUAGCUCCUGCAAAAUUUUUGCCACGGGCACACCAACAAACUGCUCCGCUUCCUUGUUGAAAAGUGUUAAGCUUUUUUUCCCAGUUGUGUCUUCAACAGAGACCCCUACUCUGAACCUGCAUGAAUAUUUGUGUUUAUUUGACUUAGACAUGUGGUGUGAAGAAUAUCAAGCUGCAAAAAAACUUGGUCACUUUUAGUUGCAGUGACUAAUGGAAGUGAUUGUUGUUCACCUCUGUGACACUGGAUCUGCCGGUUGCGCACAUGUAAGCAGACUGUAAUGAGCCUUUUAAUUCACCGAAGCAGUUGUUUUUUCAUGUGCAAUCUUUGCCUGAUAUUUUGGAUGCAUCAACUUUCCAUCUCUUUCUUCAUGCUCUCAACAUAUCAUUCUUGAUGCUAUCAUCGUAUCUUCACUUUAACCAUAGUUUCAUCUCUAAUAAUAUAGCUCAUGUUAUCUUAUUAUCUAUAUAUUUUAAAGAUAAUAUUUUAAUAUGUAAUAGCGUGAUUUUCUGUUUGAAAUUACCUAGGCUUAUAGACGUUUUUUAAUUUAAAUAGUUACAAGUGUUUUGGUUAUAAUAGCUAGGUUUCUAAUAAGACCCUUAAAAUAAGUUUUCAAUAAUUUGGCCUGUUAAAUUAGGCUCUUAAAAUAAGUAGGCCAUAUAGAUGUUUAAAUAAGAAUAGUUAAAAAUGUUUCAUAAUAAAAGUAUAAUAUUUCAGCUUUAAUAAUUAUGUAUCUGGAUCAGGUUUGUGUUCCUGGUUAAUAACCUUGUUCUUUUUCCUCCACAUUAUUUAGAUGAUAUAAUGUAUGGUCUGGCUGCACAGAUGGUAAGCAAUUUCUUUCCGGAUCCUGUAAUUUAGUUCUCGUAGCUUUGGAAUUCAUUUCAGUUCUAUGGUACACCAACACAACAUUAGCAAUAUAUAUCCAUAUAGUCUGGUGAAUAUCUACAACUGCCACUGCAAACUUUCUAAUCAAUAUUUUUAAGUUAGGCAAUAUGGUCAUUGUUAAUGUAAAGUCCAUCCUGGAUUCUAUUAAAGAUUUCGAACUUACUUUUACAAGCACAUAUUACAUAUUUAUCAGUUGGUGUUGCCUGCACAAAUCUGGCAUAGAUAAAUGUGUUGAAGCCAUUCGGAAACUUGGUGUGAUGAAAACACAGAAUAAACUAAUAUAAUGCUCUUACUUGUUGGUCGACUUGCGCUAGUUCGCUGUCUGGCCAAUCUCCUCUGCUCUAGAAUCUCGUCUAUUACACCAAUUCUUGGCCGUCCUCUUUUCCUAGAUGGGCCUCCAUUUUCAUGACCUGUUAUAGUUCAUAUUGAAUUUUGUAAAGCGUCCUUGCUAUAAAAACAACAUGAGACUUUGAAGAAUACAUGCAAACACUAAAUUCGGUAAUGAGUUCCAAGCAAGGAAAAGAGCAUCACGAAGAAAGACCAUAACCGAGGAAUGAAGAUUCUUUACUAUAGUUCAUAUUUUUUAAUUUAACGGAGGUGGCGACUGAUUCACCCACCAUCAUAUAUAUCUCAGCAGCCAGCACAGAAAUAAAUAAUUAUGAUUACGAUAACUAAUUAGAAGACGAUUUUACCUGAGGAGAAUGAUGAGGAAGAUGAAGCUUGCCUUUUAAAUUAGGCGUUUAGUAAACAGGGCGAUCAGAGGAAGAUGGCGUUUGUGUGUAUAUGUAGAAUAUGUAGUGUGUGAUAGAUGGAUUCCGGCAGGCUACUGAAUGGGUUUGGAAUUUUGAUCCGGUUUGAUUCUUUGCUCAUUGUAUCAUAGACUCCGCUGCUCUUUUCAUCUCAACAGGAACGGGCUAGCAGGAGCAAAAUGGUAUUUUCAGUUGAUUAAAAAGUCUCAGUCAUACUGAAUUUUGUAAAUUUCCAUUGAGAUAAAACAACACGGGACCUUGAAGAAUAUGUGCAAACACUAAAUCCAUCAAUGAGGUGCAAGCAAGCCUAAAUAUAUGAGUUUCAUGAACUUUGAAUUCACAGUUGAUAAGGUGAGCUACUUGAAAAAAGAUGGCAACUUCUAUCUGUUUAUCUAUUUUUCAGGAAUACUAUCAGGCAUUGUUUCUAUUAGUUUUAUACUUCUUAAUAACAUUUGUUUAGGCUUUAAUUCUUCUUAAUUUUUCUGCCUUGAGUCGCAUUACUUAAUUAUUUAAUUUGGUAACCCUUUUCCUGCAUCACUUUUGUAACCUUCUCUCUGCACUUUAAGACCACCUCACCAUGUAUAAAUGAGCAUUUCCUGUACACAACAGCACAGCAGAGCCAAUAGAAGUUAAGAACAACCAUGAUCCCCUGUUGUAUUAGCUCCAUCUUAUUUGUUUCAGUUGUAUUUGUAUCUUUAUCCGCAAGUCUUGCUAAGAUAACUGUGUUAUCAAUCAACGUGAUUAUUAAUCUAAUAAACAGUAUAUAAGUAAUGAAACCGCAACACCUUUAUUAGUCAAAAGAAGAGAAAGAAAUGGGAAGCUCACCCUAAUAACAAUCAGCUGGCCUGGUCCAAAUUAAUAUACUAAACAUGAUAUAAGUAAUGGAACCGCUACAUCUUUCUUAGUCAAAAGAGUAAAAAGAAAUGGGAAGCUAACCCUAAGUACAAUCACCUGGUCUAAUUCUGAUUUAACUUAAUUUUUUCACGCGAAGAUUAUAGCCUGCCAAAAAGCGGUACAUGUGGAGACCUGACCUAGGGAAAGAUGGAGCAGAGCUGAGGAUGCACAAAUUAAAAUGCAUGUUAAUGGAACCAAAUAAAGUGUUUGGGAAAAAACUUCCACCGGCACCGAUCAAUAGCCUAAGUACACUCACCUGGUCUAAUUACAUCUAACCUAGGGGACGCCGAAGCAUAGUCGAGGAUGUAAGCACUAAGUUCCACCUCAAUAGGCAGACAUCUUAAAUCAUAGGAGACUGUAAGCAAUCAUUGGAAGUGCUUGAAGCAGGGAGAGUGACCCGCUUGUGGUGGAAAACAUGCCACUUUCUAUGUAUACCGGAUCAAGCUAACAUACACAGGUUUACGGAGGCUGGAAAACAACCACAAUCAGAAAUAAGCCGCGGAUGAGCAUCAUGAAGAGAAGGCAUAACUGAGGAAGGAAGAAGGAAUGACCUGGUACCACGGAACUCGCGAUUGAUUCACCCAUCACCAUCUAUACUUCAGCAGGCAGCACAGAUAUGAAUAUAGCUAAGGCACAUCAGUCAAGUAAGUGCAGGGGCGGAAUUGGGGCGGGGCGGGGCUACAGCCCGGGCUAGACUAAAAAAUUUUAAUAGAAUUUUUUUUAAUCAUAGAUAUAUUAUAAAAUAAAGAAAAGAAAAUUUUUGAGCCCCAGAUAAUUUUUUUUUCUUUUCAAAAAAAAUUAUUAGCAAAAUAUUAAAAAAUGAAUUAAUUUAUUGCUUUAAUUGUUGUUUACAAUUUUGUUAGUUUUAGUUAUUAGAAUAAUCAAAAUUAAUAUAAUUAACAUUAAAAAAAGCAAAUGAAUCAGUAAAAAAAUUAAUCAAAUAGAUUAUACAUAUGAACAGAACAUCAGAACAUAUGCCCAAAGUUUCGCUAGUGCCUCGGUUCACAGUUCCGCAACCGGUUCACCAUUGGAUUCUUUAUUUCUGUCAAUGUGUCUUUUAUUGGUUUAGUCAAUAGUACAACUUAUCUAUUUGAGUAUGCCAUGUUUAUAUAUUCUGCUCAAAUUUGAUUUUGAGGUGAUUGAUAUUAUUUCUCGAGAGAUGGAAAAUCAUUUUUAAGAGACAAACAAUGAGCUGCUUACUUGCAUUGCCUCUCUUGAUCCCCGAAAUUCUUUUUUGGAUUUUGGUCAUGCAAAGCUUCUUCGAUUAGCACAGUUUUAUCCAAAUGAUUUCUCGUUAAUGGAUCAAGAACUGUUGGGUACUCAGUUAAACAACUUCAUCUUUGAUGUCCGAAGCGAUAAAAUAUUUCAGAACUUAAGAAUAUAGGGGAGGUUGCAAUUAAAAUGGUGAAGACUCGUAGACAUACAGCUUAUCUCUUGUUUAUCGAUUGAUUGAGUUAGCUCUUGUUUUGCCUAUUGCGAAAGCUACUGUUGAGAGAGUAUUCUCAGCAAUGAAAAUUGUGAAGUCUGAUUUGUGUAAACAGAUGGGGAUGAGUGGCUGAAUGACAGUAUAAUGGUGUACAUCGAGAAGGCAAUAUUUGCGACUGUGAAUAACGAAUCAAUCUUGCAACGUUAUCAGCAUAUGCAAACUCGGAGGAUUCAGUUAUCAUCUAUUAGUACUUCAAGUAAGGAUGAUAGCACCAGCACAUAAAAACAAGUACGCUUACUUUUAUGAGAUAAAAAUAUGAAUUCUUGAUGUGAAAUAAUUGAGCCUUGUGAAUUGAAUUUAUAUAUAUUGACUAUGAUUGCGAUAACUAUACAAAACUUGACUGCACCUGAGGAGAAUGACGAGGCAGACGAAGCGUUUGUGUAGCUCUUCGAAUUUUGCGCUUAGCAAACAGGAGAUUGCUCCGAGGAAAGAAGGUGUAUUGGUUUCAGAUGAGGUGAUUGUGUGUAUUUGCAGACUAUGCAGUGUGUGAUAGAUGGGUCCGGGGUAGCUACCAACUGGCUUUGGGUAUUUGUCCCAGGUUUUAUCAUUUGCUUCUUCUUUCAAAGAUUGCCCUGAGUCUUUUCAUCUCAACUGGAUCGACCAAGCGGGGUAAAAAGCUCUUUUCACUUGAUUAAAAAAUCUCGGUCUUUCUCUUGCUCAACCAGCCUCAUGUUGGGCUAUUAUUAAUAUAAUAUAAUAAAUAGAUAAUAGAUAUAUAGAUAGAUAGAUUAAUAAUAUUUUUUAAUAAUAGAAUAUAUAGAAGAGUUGAGAUCUGUGGGAUACCAUUAAAAUUGAGGAAUUGGAGUCCCUAGGGACUAUGGUUGGAUUGUACUCAAAUCCUACGGCUCAGAUUUAUUAAAUCAAAAUACAGUUGACCUCCUUUUAAGGAUGUUUGAACUGUAAAUACACUCCCGUGCGUAUACGUUGCUGAGAAAGCUAUCCCGCAUCCUACGCUUAAAAACAACCCACUGCCGUUACAAAGACUACAGGAUUUUCGCUCGCAACAACCACAGGUGCGUAAGAUUUGAAACUCAAUUGGCCGGUUGGAGACGAGGGUUGUUCAAGCCACUGCAAGUAUAUGUGAAGAUGCGUUCAGGUAUGGGCUCGAUUUUGUUAUUAUGUGCUUCAAUUUAAUUGCAUGUCGUAUAAGUGAGCGAUAGGCGAACUGAUUUUUUGUUCCCCAAUAGCCAAGUUAGAUGAGUUGUCCCGCGAUUGUGCUUUUGUUUUGAUGGGGCGUCAUUACCCGUUUUUUGGGCUUGGUUAAAAAUCAAACUCUGUGUGUUCUGCACUUGACAUUGCAAGGAUAUUUGAGAAUUUUUGGUCUUUAAGAAUAAACAUUGUUAUUUGGUGUUAGAGUGGUCUAUUUAGACAAUACAGAAUGUUUUGUUGUGAUUUGGGUAAUUGGGGUUUUAUUUUGAGUCUACAUGUUCUGAAUGCACAUUGAGAUUAUGUUCUGCAUUUGUUAAGUGUUUAUUAUUGAAAAUGUGAAUUUAGUGAUAAUGAAUCUGGUUUUGGUGUUAUGCAGUGUAGGUUUUAAAUUUAAUGUUUGAUAUUCUUCUGCAUUACAUUGCAAUGUCCAUAAUUGGAUUCAAUAUUGGUGUUUGUAUCACAAUUAUUGAAGCUACUUAGAUCUGUGUUGUCCUGUAGUUGAGCUUUUAUUUCGUUGGGGCAUCAUAACCCCUAUUAUGGGUUUGAUAAAAAAAUGAACUCUGUUUGUGUUCUGCUCUUGACUUUGUAAGGAUGUUUAAGAAUUUUUGGUCUUUUAGAAUAAGCAUUGCUAUUUGGUGUCAGAGUGUUCAAUUUGGACAAUGCAGAACAUUUUUGUUGAAAUUUGGGUAAUUGGGGUUUCAUUUGGAGUCUACAAUGCACAUUGCGGUUAUGUUUUGCAUUUAUUUAGUGGUUUGUUCUGCAUUGUGAAUCUGAUUUCUACUAUACUAAAAAGAAUGCCAUAUUUUCACAAUGCAGGAGAUGGAGGUAAAGAAAUUCAUCACACGUGAACUUGUCGGAUAUCAACAAAGCAUUCGACUACAUGAUCAAGGGGGAAGUCUGUGUUGCGUUGCGUCAUCGACAUGGGUGCUUAGGCGAAGCCUAAAUUUUCUGCAAUCAGUGAAACAUACGCAAAUAUGAAUUUAUCAAAUAAGUGUUGUUGAUAAAUAAAAGAUUUGUCAAGGAGUUGCCACUUCAUACCGAGCAUUGGUUUUUUGACAUUGAUUAUGUUGUGGAGUUUGGUUGUUUUGUUCACUAUUUUUGAAUGCAUCUUCUUGCUUUUCAUCUGACUAGUGUGUUUAGUUUCUAGUUUUGUUUUACCGAUACAAGUAUGGAAAACUGAUAAGAAAAAUAUAAAUCGAUCCAAAAAAUCGAAGUGUUGAGCAAUAGCAUGACACUGUAGUAUACGAGCAACAUUUACGGUUUCAUAUGAUUUCAGAAAAAAUGAAGUAGAAGAUGCUAAUAUUAGUUUUAGAUCUUAUGCAACAACUUCGAGAUAAACACCAAUGCCAUGCUGCAUUGUCUAAGAUCAAUCGUCUGUGCAGAACCAAAACAAACACAUAUUAUCUAGCAUUUUACAAGAACCUAAUACUCUGUCAUGACAUUACGAAGGGAGCAAAAUACAGUAACCUUAAAAAAAUCUUGCAUACAAUUAUUUGAUGUAGUAAUAUCCUACGAAACUUUUCAAUGUAACUGAAACAAUAAAAAAAUAUACAUAACUUACAUGAAUCUCCUUUCUGAUUAGACUAUAAAGACAUUUGCAGAAAAAAAAAAAACAACGCAGGACCAACUAAUAAUCUAUCAUUUUACAAAAAAUCAAUUAGUCUAGCAUGACAUUACGAAAGGAGCAAACUACGGAAACCUUCAGGCUUCAAGAAGUCCUGCACACAAUUAUUUAAUGAAGGAAUAUAUUGCGGAACUUUUUCAAAGUAACUCAAAUACUAAAUAAAUUUGUCGAACUUAUAACAUUAAUCUCCAUUGUGAUUAGAAAUUUGAGCCUUUCUAUGAAGAAAAAAAAAGUGCUCCAUGAGUUAUAUAUAUUGCCUGCUAAGGAUCAAAAGAACGAAAAUAUAAAACGGAAAAAAAAUGAAGCAACGAGUGCAGGACAUUUAUUCAACUCAUACACUUGGAUAACUUGAGCAGUUGUAACUACGGCACGAAUCAAGCAACCCACAACUCCUACUCCAAAAAACACGCUUGUCUGUGUAAGAAACAAAAGAAAAUACACUUUUUAAAAAAUUAAAUCAUAAAUCGUAUCAGCCGUUGGAUCUUAAUCAAAAUGAAGAGCUGAAUUGGGACUCCAAGACUCCAACAAGUUAUAGGACUCCAAAUAACUUUCUUCAUAUAUAAAAAAAAUGCAUAUAGAAAAUGUUGUUUAGGAAAAUAAUUCAUGAUGUCCUAAAUUAUUAUUUUGUAUUAAAUUUGAGACUUUUAUUAAAAUGACCUUGUGCUUAUUUUUCAGACGAGGGGGGUCAAAAGUCUGAAGACCAAAGGGUUUUAUCAGCAAAAACCCAUACAUACACCUAAUUUAUGCACUCUGGCCGGAAAACACCAAAUCAUGGAUUUCGACAAGAGAAAAACAGCAACUCUGUCAUUAAUCAACACUCCCCCGCAAGAUUACUCUGACAAAUCACCAAAAGGCACUCUUGAUCUUCCCAUUCUACCCCUGCUCAACUCCAUUAAUUCCCACCCUUGUUUCUUCACCACUAGCUCCUGCUCUGGCAGAAUCUCAAUCCUCUCCACCCCAACUGAAACCACCUCAAUAACCAAGAAAAAGGCCAGAGGAGGCAAGUGGGUCCUCAUAUCUCAUGACCCUGUGGACCCCACCUCAGUUCUUGACUUGCUGUACAACCCCACCUCAGUUGUUGAUGAGUUGGAUGAGCUGGUGUUUAGAUUUGAGCCUUUGAUUGUUGCUGUUGAGUGUAGGGAUGUGGGGUCUGCUCAGAGUUUGGUUUCGAUUGCAAUUUCUUGUGGGUUUAGGGAGUCUGGGAUUACUAGUGUCAGCAAAAGGGUGAUUGUUGCGAUUAGGUGUUCGAUUCGAUUGGAAGUGCCGUUAGGAGGGAGUGGAAGGUUGUUGGUAUCGGAGGAGUAUGUUAGGUUUUUGGUUGGGAUUGCUAAUGGGAAAAUGGAGGUUAAUAGGAAGAGGACUGAUCAGUUUUUUGCUGCAUUGUUGAGGAAUGGGUUUGGAGGAGUCGAGAAUGGUGUGGGAAGUGGUGAUUGCGAUGGCUUGGAAUGUGAGGAGGUGAAAAAGAUGGAGUCUUAUUUUGGUGCUUUGAGUGAAUCCCGGCAAAUAGAUGACUGCGGUAUUUUACUUUGUAUUUACUUGGCUUAUUAAUGGACUUUAGAAUUACGUUAUUUUGUAUCUUAAUUUUUUUUUUUUUUUGGUAUGUGAAAGUUACUUCAUUUUAUCCAGAGUAGUUUACCUUGUUUCUUAGUUAGCACUUACACCUUGCUCCCGAGUUUUAAAUAGAGAGGAAAGCAAGAGGAGACGAGGUAAUUUCUUCAUCCCAAUUUUGGGGUGAAAGUCUCCUGAAUUUGCAUUCAUUUACACUUGCUAAAAACUGAGUACAAAUAUGAGUGAAAAUGAGGCUACUUUAAUUACUUUUCACGUGCUUUCCUCCCUUUCUAAGUAAGUGUUCUCUUAGUAUAUAAGGAUAUAAGCAGCUGAGAUGAUUUAUAGGAAACUUUUUAUGCAUAAUGCUGUGGAAUAAUUUCUAACAGUAGGUAUGAAUCACGUACAUUGCACAUUUUUUAUUGUCCAAGUAUAUGUUAUCCUCAUUGCUUACGAAGUUUGCGUCCUCCUCACAGUGAAAUCUUGUAUAAUUCAUCCUGACUAGGGUCCAGUACUGCCACGGUCAAUAGAGAAGUAAUAUGUUGUUUAUCUUAUAAUUAUAUUGUGCUGUCAAGUUUUAACUUGAAAUAUAAUUUAUGUCGGGUUAUUUGUUGUUCAAAGUUAUUGUUUUAAUUUGUAUCAUAAAAGGUCAAAUGUAUGUGUGUAUGUGACUAUGUGUAGAUGUGUUGGUUGUUUUUAUUUUUUAAUUUGUGAACUUCAGUUUGUCUUCUUUAACUAUAUUAAUGGACCGUGUUGGAAGCAGGGAAAAGUGGGGGAUGGGGGCUUCUGGAUUUGAUAAUCAGUACUAGAUGUUGUUAAUUAUGACAAGGAUUUUAGUAGGUGAGACGAAUUGUUGGGAACUUUUGUGCAGUAUGCUGCGGGUUCAAAUCAUGGAAAGCACUCAUUCUUCUUUGUUUUAAUAUGUUCCUUUCUCAUUCUCACAUUCUGAAAACUCAUAUGGUUUAUGCUAACUUUGAAGUCUAGUCUAGUUCUGACUCUGUCAACAUAUAAGUUCAUGGACUAAGAUUAUUAGUUGCAGAAGGCCCUCCAUUUGCAAAACUAACAUAGCUAUUUCAGGUGUAGCUUUCUAAUGCACACCUUGUCCAAUAUGCAUGCAUCUUAGAACCUUCUUUUUAACAAAGUAGGGUUGUGUAGCUACAUGAAAUUACUAUGUGGUUACGUUCUUAUAUAUAUUUAUUGUUGCAGGAAUCUUCCACUAUAUAUUGCAAGAUUAAACCUUUAAUAUAUUGGCAGGGUCUGCCGAAGUUCCUGUUAACAGUCUUUCCACUGAUCAGCUGGUAGUUGCUGGUGAAGCUAUUGAGAAGGUUUACCUAUGGGGUCACUCUGCUUGUGAGAUUGAGGACGCAACAAAAAAGAAAGUGCUCAUUUUUGGUGGUUUUGGAGGCAUGGGGAGGCAUGCUCGACGAAAUAAUUGUUUCUUGCUUGAUCCAUUCUCAGGUGAACUUGAAGACUUCAAUGUUCAGGGGUGUCCAUCCCCACGCUUGGGCCACACAUCCUCCUUAAUAGGACAUUUGAUGUAUGUUAUUGGGGGUAGGGCUGAUCCAUCAAGUAUCUUAAAUGAUGUCUGGCUUCUGAACACAGAAAAUAGGCAAUGGAAGCUCUUAGAGUGUACAGGCACAUAUUUUCCAUCCAGGUGACAUCUUUAGUGUUUAAAAUUGUUUCUAUUUUUUUUUCAUUGUUUUUAGUCUAUCUGCUUUAUGCACCAGAUCAUUAUGAAUUGAACAGCUUUCAUUGCGCAAGUUUUUUUUUACUAUCUAUGCAAGUGUAAAAUAUUGAAUUUUCUUGUGUCUUGUUUGUGUAUCAAGCAGUCUGAUAAAACAAUAAUAUAAUAGCAUAUUUUCUUUCUCGUCUGUGUCUUUACAUCUCUUUAUAAUUUACAAAAUCGAUAAAUGAGCUUUGUGGGGGCAUGGUGUUGUGCAGGCAUCGACAUGCAGCAGCUACUGUAGGGCCUAAGAUAUAUGUUUUUGGUGGAAUUCACAAUGAUUUGAUCUAUCCAUCAUUACAUGUUUUAGACACGCAAAAUCUUGAAUGGAGUGAAAUAUGUAUGCCAGGUGAACAACCAUGCCCACGUCAUUCACACUCUAUGGUAUCUUAUGGGACCAAACUAUUUAUAUUUGGAGGAUAUGAUGGGGAAAAAGCUCUAGGGGACCUUUAUAGUUUUGAUGUUCUGACAUGCUUGUGGAAGAAGGAAGAAAUGGCAGGAAGAACACCGUAUGCAAGAUUUUCACACUCAAUGUUUGUAUAUAAGCAUUUUGUAGGUAUCAUAGGAGGAUGCCCAGUCAGACAACAUUAUCAAGAUUUGUCUUUGCUAGAUUUGAGGGACUGUUCGUGGAAACAUAUUAGGGUGAAUUCUUUUGGCAAAGAGCUUCUUGUUCGUAGCAGCGGAAGUGUCAUUGGUGAUGAUCUUGUGAUGAUUGGUGGUGGAGCAUCUUGUUAUGCCUUUGGAACAAAAUUUAGCGAUCCAAUGAAAAUGAACUUGCGUCCAUUAGUUUCUCUAACUGAUAGUCCUGCACAAAUAUUGACGACGCAAGUUAAUCACACCAAAGAAGACCCCCCACAAACCGAGAUUGGUUUCACACAAUCUCCAGCUAGCAUAUAUGAAACAUUAUCUAAGGAAACUUCUGGCUUGAAACUUGGUGAUGAAGGCAUAGAUAUAAAUGGUGGACAUCAAGGUGUUGCAUCACAUUUUGUUCUAAAAAUUAAGAAAAAAUAUGCCAAACUUGGAAAGGACCUGCUGAAAAGGUUUGCCUGGUUAGAUCUUGAACGCAAAGUUUAUUCCCUGGAAAAAGGAUUACAUAUAUGUUUUCCUGUCACAGGACAAUUUUGUGCUUUGUACGAUAAUAGUCAACAUGAUGCACACACUGCAGAUAUUGAACCACUUGACCCUUGUCUACUAGAAAAGGUAACGGCAAAGGGGCUUUUACCUGAUGAUACCAUUUCAUCAGCCCUGAAUUUUUUCAUCACAAGUGGUGCUACCAAAAUUUUAGACGAGGUUGUGAGAGUUAAGAAAACUUCUAGCUCUCCAUUAAAGAUGAUGAAUGACUCUGUAACAUUAUUGAUUAAUGAACAAGGGCUUCCAGCAGAACUUCUAGAGCAGCUACCCACUAGGUUUGUCUCUAACAAUCAUAAUAUUUAAAGUAUCCUGCAUACAUAUUUAAAUCUAAUUUUGUGCCUUAUAGGCUUGAAAAUUUAUCUUGACUUAUUAAAUAGUUAUAUAUUAGUACAUGUACACAAAAGAGAUGCCAAUCUUUCAAAACACAAUUUUAGGAAAUAAGGUUAUCCACUUAAUAGUGUAAGAAUAUAUGGGCUACUCCACAUAAGGUUCUUAUGUAUACCUGUAAGUUCUCUAAAAGGUAGGACACACACACACACAUGUUUAUAAUAUUUGAAUUACAUAUUAGAAUGUACACUUAAUUAAAAAAAUCGAGUAGAAGAACUAGUGUUUCCAUUAUAAUAUUGUCCUGACAGAGUGUUUCGGCAUCCUUGGAUCAGAGCUCUUCUCUUCUCGGUUUUAUCAUCAUCAUCAUCAUCAUCAUCAUCAUCGUCAUUUUUUGUUAAUUAAUUUGGUAAUAGAAAACCUCCGUUUGUCCUAUUAGUAUGAAUCAAGGAAGUGCUAUGCUUCAUUUAUUAUGGUUAUUGUUAUUAUUAUUAUUAUUAUUAUAUUUUGGUGAAGCUAUUUAACUACUGCUAAUCCAAUUCAAAAUAUGCAACUUUUAUAUAGAUGGGAACGACUUGGGGACAUUGUUGUGCUUCCAUCAACUUCAUUUAAGGAUCCAUUGUGGGACACAAUUUCAGAUAAGCUGUGGCCAGUUGUUGCUGCAUCACUAGGAACUCAACGCCUUGCUCGACAAGUAAGAAUUUUUUGAUAGAAUGAGCUGUGUUUCACUAAAUUGUUUAAUCUCCAUGUCUGGAAGAUGUUUCUAAGCAUUGUUUUCAACACAUUCACUAAAUCUAAUUAUCAUUGGUUGUUUAGAAUUUGUGUAUGUGCUGAUAGUAGGAAUUUGUUUAUGUGCUGAUAGUAGGAAUUUGUCCAUGUGCUGAUGUGUAUGUGGUACUAAAUGGAAAAACUGAUGUGCACUUGCAAUGAAUUUUCAUGUACAUCCGAAGAUCUUCCUAGAGAGUUAUACAUUAGGCCAGUUUUCAGAGCAUAAAAAGUUUAAGUCAGUGCCUAACUACAGGUCUUACUAAAGCCAACAUGUCAAGCUGUCAAUGGAAAAAAUAAGAAAUUAAAGAAAUGUAGACAUUUAAGCAAUAAAAAUUUCUUGCAUCAACAGAUAAUAUACUCGCAAGGAUGCAUCAUUUUGGUGGGUAGAUCAUUUGUUGAAGGUUGGAAGGUGUAUGUAUGUUGCAGAAUUACACAUACUGGAUAAUGUAGUGAAUUGCCUAUCUGUUUACAAUGAUUUGUUUAUAUAUAGGGUCGAGUGGCAAAUACUGGAACAAGGGACAGUAGUUUGGAGAUGCUUGUCGGGGAUAGUGGCUGGGUAAGUCACCGCGAAAAUGGAAUUUAUUAUUCUUUUGAUGCUACAAAGUGCAUGUUUUCCUGGGGCAAUCUAUCUGAGAAGCUACGUAUGGCCCAUUUGGACUGUACGGAUGAAGUUGUUGUAGACUUGUUUGCUGGGAUUGGAUAUUUUGCUUUGCCAUUCCUUGUCAGGUACUAUAUGAUUGCAUUUCUGUGAAGUUUCAGCUAUCUAAUAUCUUUUGCUGUUAUAAAUAUCUCAAAUCCUAAACUCUUGCUCCAUAAAUUUUCUCUUUAUUUUAUUUGGGAUCACUUAUUGAUCCUAUAUUUUGAAUUGACUUGUGUUAUUGGAGUACCUCCUCCUUUGGCUGUAUGUUCUAUCGCUUUCUAUGGAGUUGUAGCUGAACUUCGUGUUCUGUAUCUAAAAUGUAUGGUUUCCUUUAGUUAGUUAAAGGCUAGAAAGCAUGAGUGCGGGUGCGGGAGUGCGGGUGCGCGGUACGUGGAUACGGGAAUUCGUCAAAUUCCAAAAUAUGGGGAUACGGGUGCGGGGGGAUACGGCAAAUAUUAAAAUAUUAAAUAUAUUAUAUAUAUAUAUAAAUAAUACAUAAGAUGCAUUUAAGUAGAACAAAAUAGUGGAAUAACUAAAUUAAUCAUCUUUAAGUCUUGACAAUUAGAAUACAUAUAUAACUAUUGCAAUUUAAGUGAUUCAAUUGAGCAUAAUCAUGGCUUCCAUGAUUUUGACCAACUAAUUUUAAGUUUUUUUUUAAAAAAAAAGUUGUAAAAAAUUACGAUUUGUGCCACUCCCGCACCCCCAUCCCCGCACCCCCGCGUAUCCCCGUCACUGCCUCCACCGAUACGCCACGUGGCGUAUCCCGUGCGUAUCCCGCCGCACUCCGCCGCACCCCCGCACCCCCAAGUAUCCCCUACGCAGUUCUUCACCCAGAUGAAGUAUCCCUGCUUUCUAGGUUAAAGGCCAGUUAGUAAUGAGUCAUUACUAAAUAAAACUACAAUGUAAAUUUUAAAAUAAAAAGAGAAAAUAAAUUAUAAAAUAUAAAUAUUAAAACAUUUAAAGUAAAAGUAAAAUAUAAAUUUGGUUUUAAAAGUAAAAGCCUGAUUUCUACAUCUGGCUACGUAGGUGACACACACGUACACAGCAAUAGCCCCAGUAUAUACACACACCCCCAGUAUAUACACACACCGUCGUGUGUAUAUACUAAUCCAUCGGCGCCGUGUGUAUACAUAAAAGAAGAAAAGAGAUGAAGAGAGAGGAGAGGAAAGAGAGCAGAGGAGAGAGGAGAGGAGAAAAGAGAUGAAGAGAGAGACGAGAGAGAAGAGAUAGGAGAGGAGAGUGGAGAGGAGAGAUGAGAGGAACUUACCGUAAGCUUGCUCUGAAGUCUGAAGUCCAACUCCGCCGCGUAGAAGCCCGUUUCGUUUCAAUAUGAAGUCAACCAUCUGUGUAAGUAUCGUUUUUAACCCUAACCGGGUCGGGUAAAACUCGAUUGGACCGGGUCGGUACCGGGUCGGGUCGGGUUUUACCCGUGGACGACUUAAAAGCCCAGUCGCUGGUCGACUUACUCUUCUGGGCCGACUCGCCGACUAGUCGGCGACUAGUCGUCGACUAGUCGUCGACUCAAUAACAAUGGU